UACGGGGGGGAGCAAGCGUUGUUCGGAUUUACUGGGCGUAAAGGCGCGUAGGCGGCGCAACAAGUCACUUGUGAAAUCUCCGGGCUUAACCCGGAGCGGCCAAGUGAUACUGUCGUGCUAGAGUGCGGGAAGGGGCUAACUGGAAUUCUCGGUGUAGCGGUGAAAUGCGUAGAUAUUGGGAAGAACACCGAUGGCGAAGGCACUCUGCUGGGCCGACACUGACACUGAAAGACGAAAGCCAGGGGAGCGAAAUGGG
rnacentral:rRNA from 1 species